AUGUUUGAACAGUUUGGACAUAUUCUAUACGAAUGUGGUGCUUAUCAAGUUGAGGAGGUUGAGAAACACUAGACAUAUGUUGCAAUCCACAGUGAAGCGGAGAAGAGAGAGAAAUGGUGCAGGGUCUCGUACAAGGUUACUAUGCUUGAUGGAGGCAAUGAAUUCGAGUGCGAGUGUGGACAGUUCGCACACAUGGGCCUACUGUGCUGCCAUGUGCUGAAGGUCAGCAUCUGA
rnacentral:rRNA from 1 species